GCGCGGUCGCGUGGAGGAUCGCUCGAGGUCCGUCGUCUGGCCUCGAGCGAUCCUCCAUGCGACCGCGC
rnacentral:ncRNA from 1 species